AUGCAGGGCGGAUCCAGCGGCAUCGUCUACGGCGGCCUCAAGUACCAGGCGCGGUGCAUCACCGACGUGCGCGCGGACGCCGGUUCCACCACCUUCCUCGCCGGAACCCUCAGCCUCAAGGAGGAGAACGAGGUGCACCUGAUCCGGCUGCUGCCGGGGGAGAACGAGCUCGUGUGCGACGGGCUGUUCUACCAUCCCAACGAGAUCUGGGACCUCAAGUCCUGCCCCUUCGACCACAGGCUAUUCUCCACGGUCUACACCUCUGGUGAGGGUUAUGGCGCGUCCGUUUGGAAGAUCCCGGAGCUGUAUGGGCAGUCCAACUCACCGCAGCUUGAGCAGCUCUUCAUGCUCGAUGACCACACGGACAAAAUAAGAUGUGUUCUCUGGUGGCCACUGGGGAAGCAUGAUAAGCUAAUUAGCAUCGAUGACAGAAACAUUUUUCUCUGGAACAUAGAUCCAUCAAAUAAAUCAGCCAAGGUGAUAUCACAGGGAUCUGCUGACAUGCUUCCCAAUUUACGUGGUGGAGCUUGGGAUCCACACAAUCACAACGCAGUUGCUACAAUAACUGAUUCGUCACUCCACUUCUGGGAUCUCCGUUCUAUGAAGAGAUCAAAUGCAAUUGAACAUGCUCAUAUCCGGGAUGUGGAUUAUAACCCCAAGAAGCAAAACAUAAUUGCAACAGCAGAGGACGAAUUCGGAAUUCGCUUGUGGGAUCUCAGAAUGCUUAAGCAUCCUCUGAAGGAUCUCCCUGGACAUUCACAUUGGACAUGGGCUGUUCGGCACAAUCCUGAGUAUGAUGAGCUGAUUCUGAGUGCUGGAACGGAUUCAGCUGUCAAUUUAUGGUUGGCUAAAGUUGGCACUGAUGACUCUGGACCCGAAAGCCCUUCUGGUUCGCCCACUAGGCAAGAAGAACCAUUACUGCACUCGUAUACUGACUACGAAGAUAGCAUCUAUGGAAUUGCAUGGAGCUCCCAUGAUCCAUCGUUGUUUGCUUCUUUGUCUUAUGAUGGAAGGGUUGUUUUAGAAUCUGUCAAGCCCCACCUGCAGAGAAAAUGA
rnacentral:rRNA from 1 species